rnacentral:misc_RNA from 1 species
CGCAGCCGCGGUAAUUCCAGCUCCAAUAGCGUAUAUUAAAGUUGUUGCAGUUAAAAGCUCGUAGUUGAAUUUCGGGGUUAGUAGGUUGGUCAUGCCUCUGGUAUGUACUGGUCUCACUGAUUCCUCCUUCCUGAUGAGCCGUAAUGCCAUUAAUUUGGUGUUGCGGGGAAUUUGGACUGUUACUUUGAAAAAUUAGAGUGUUUAAAGCAAGCUAACGCUUGAAUACAUUAGCAUGGAAUAAUGAAAUAGGACGUUCGAUCCUAUUUUGUUGGUUUCUAGGAUCGACGUAAUGAUUAAUAGGGAUAGUUGGGGGCAUUAGUAUUCAAUUGUCAGAGGUGAAAUUCUUGGAUUUAUUGAAGACUAACUACUGCGAAAGCAUUUGCCAAGGAUGUUUUCAUUAAUCAAGAACGAAAGUUAGGGAUCGAAGACGAUCAGAUACCGUCGUAGUCUUAACCAUAAACUAUGCCGACUAGGGAUCGGAUGAUGUUAAUUUUUUAAUGUACUCAUUCGGCGCCUUAAC